AACGAACGCUGGCGGCGUGCCUAACACAUGCAAGUCGAGCGGGAAAGCCCGCAAGGGUGAGUACAGCGGCGCACGGGUGCGUAACACGUGGGUAAUCUGCCCUGAAGCUCGGGAUAACUCGCCGAAAGGCGUGCUAAUACCGGAUAAGACCACGGGAGCCUCGGCUCCUGCGGGAAAAGGUGGCCUCUGUAUACAAGCUAUCACUUCAGGAUGAGCCCGCGGCCCAUCAGCUCGUUGGCGGGGUAACGGCCCACCAAGGCUACGACGGGUAGCUGGUCUGAGAGGACGAUCAGCCACACUGGAACUGAGACACGGUCCAGACUCCUACGGGAGGCAGCAGUGGGGAAUCUUGCGCAAUGGGCGAAAGCCUGACGCAGCAACGCCGCGUGUGUGAUGAAGGUCUUCGGAUCGUAAAGCACUGUCGGGAGGGACGAAUAAGGGCCGGGUGAACAAUCCGGUUCGAUGACGGUACCUCCAAAGGAAGCACCGGCUAACUCUGUGCCAGCCGCCGCGGUAAUAC
rnacentral:rRNA from 1 species